UACAGAGGGUGCAAACGUUGUUCGGAAUUACUGGGCGUAAAGCGCGUGCAGGCGGCCUUGCAAGUCGGACGUGAAAUCCCACGGCUCAACCGUGGAAGUGCAUUCGAAACUGCGAGGCUGGAGUCCUGGAGAGGAAAGUGGAAUACUCGGUGUAGAGGUGAAAUUCGUAGAUAUCGAGUGGAACACCGGUGGCGAAGGCAGCCCCCUGGGCUAACACUGACGCUCAUGCACGAAAGCGUGGGGAGCAAACAGG
rnacentral:rRNA from 1 species